UCACAGGGAAUGGUUAUUGCUGACC
rnacentral:snRNA from 1 species